rnacentral:lncRNA from 1 species
AGGAGAUGUUCACGGUAUCAGUAUUCAACCCAGCUCUCUAGAGAAGGGCCACAGUCCCAGACUUUUUCCUGGGUGCAUGGGAAUCUUGGACAAUCUUUUUUUUUUUUUAAAGAUUUAUUUAUUUAUUAUUAUAUGUAAGUACACUGUAGUUGUCUUCAGAUACCCCAGAAGAGGGCAUUAGAUCUCAUUACGGAUGGUUGUGCGCCACCAUGUGGUUGCUGGGAUUAGAACUCAGGACCUCUGGAAGAGCAAUCAGUGUUCUUAACCGGUGAGCCAUCUCUCCAGUCCCCUUGGGCAAUCUUAAAAAUGAGGUUUGCCAAGUUAGACGGAAACGGAUUCUUUUCCUGUGAUGCGUGAUUUUCAAAGCCACUGCUGGGAAUUUCUCUACCACAUGCUCAUUUUAAUCUAAGAUCAAACAGAUCCACUUUAGACACUGUCUUAGUUUGAGCCUAUAGAUUCUUUCAAAACCAGCCUGUAUUCCCAUAAAUGAGAGCGGUCAUGCUAAUCCACAGAUAAUAUCUUCUGUGCUAGAGGAACCGAAAUAAGAGUAAGUCUGGCUGUGGCAGCUCUAGUGGCGAUGGCACUGAUGAUGAACUGAGUGUGGGUGUGGUUGUGGCCCCUGCCUGCUCCCCAGUGGACCACAGAGUGUCUCAGUUAUGGUACACUAGAUAGAGACAAUUUCAUGGGUAAGGAGUUGGGAUUUUGGGUUGACCUCUGAGACGGGGAGAGAGUACUGAAAACAAGCUGUCUUAGUCUAAAAAGUUCUCUGCUUUGUCACUGAGAAAUGAGGAUGACUUACAGCUUUCAUGUUGAAAUUAAACUCUGCCAAUUAUUUAAAAUUUCAAGGUCUUCCCUGCACAUUUUACUACCUGCCAAUCUUGAAAAACAUCAGCUAGCCUGAGGAGUCUAGGUCAAAUUUCAGAGGAGAACUGUGGGUGCAGUUAGGAGGACAGACAUCACUGGAGGGCUUCCCACAGGACACACUUUCCUAAUAGUCACCAAGGAGGCUGGGAAGCAACAAUUCAGGAGACAAUCACAACUGUGCUCUUUCAGGGAUCCAGAGAGCCUCCAUGCCACUCGGAUUGAUCUGGGUCUACUACUAAGACUCAGCAGGAGUUCAGGGAAGUGGAGAAGCCAAGACCCAGUG